GGCACGUUUGAGGAUCUUCUAGUUUUCCUCUUCUGGCUAUCGACAGACAGAUUGAAAGAAGAAAAGCUUCCUUCUUUAUUAACGUCUUAGGGAGAAGACAAAGAAAAGCAGGGAAGCCAACUUCAGGCGCGUUUUAGAGAUGGGUUCAGAUGGUGUUUUGCAAAAAGAAAAAAAGAAAAAGGAGAAGAGGCUCUUUAGCUAAAAGGUGAAAGCUUUCUCUGAGUUUU
rnacentral:lncRNA from 1 species